AAGUCUACCACUUUGAUUCUUUGCGUAAAGGAACAAUACGGUCCUUACUAGUCAAAUCAUUGUUAAAUAGUGUGAUGAAGAAGAUUACUUCAUCUGGACUUCGACAAGGAAAAGCUCCUGUUUGGUAUUUAGUCGAGUGUCCGGUACAAGAAGGUGGACUUGCGUGUGGGUAUUACGUCAUGAGGUUCAUGCUCGAUAUCGUCAACUAUUGCAAAGAUGUUGUUGAUCUUCGAAAGGUAUGUAACUUUUAGGUUUCCAAUUGUUGUUUGUUGUAUUUCCGGCCUAUUUUAGCCUUUUCGCUCCCAAAAUGUAGUUAUGAUGUGAUUUAACCUCAAAUUCUCUUUGAACAUGAUUAUAUGAGGCAUAUUAUAACUAGUAUGUAGAUUC